UACAGAGGGUGCAAGCGUUGUUCGGAAUUAUUGGGCGUAAAGCGUGCGUAGGCGGCUGCGCAAGUCGGGUGUGAAACCCCGGGGCUCAACCCCGGAACUGCAUCCGAUACUGCGUGGCUAGAGGUAGGUAGGGGAGAUCGGAAUUCCUGGUGUAGCGGUGAAAUGCGCAGAUAUCAGGAGGAACACCGGUGGCGAAGGCGGAUCUCUGGGCCUUACCUGACGCUCAGGCACGAAAGCUAGGGGAGCGAACAGG
rnacentral:rRNA from 1 species